CAGCCGCCGCGGUAAUACGGAGGGCGCGAGCGUUACCCGGAUUUACUGGGCGUAAAGGGCGUGUAGGCGGCCUGGGGCGUCCCAUGUGAAAGGCCACGGCUCAACCGUGGAGGAGCGUGGGAUACGCUCAGGCUAGAGGGUGGGAGAGGGUGGUGGAAUUCCCGGAGUAGCGGUGAAAUGCGCAGAUACCGGGAGGAACGCCGAUGGCGAAGGCAGCCACCUGGUCCACUUCUGACGCUGAGGCGCGAAAGCGUGGGGAGCAAACCGGAUUAGAUACCCCGUAGUCCCUGUCUCUUAUACA
rnacentral:rRNA from 1 species